UACGAAGGGGGCUAGCGUUGUUCGGAAUCACUGGGCGUAAAGGGCGCGUAGGCGGCCUGAUAAGUCGGGGGUGAAAGCCUGUGGCUCAACCACAGAAUUGCCUUCGAUACUGUCGGGCUUGAGACCGGAAGAGGUAAGUGGAACUGCGAGUGUAGAGGUGAAAUUCGUAGAUAUUCGCAAGAACACCAGUGGCGAAGGCGGCUUGCUGGGCGUGAUCUGACGCUGAGGCGCGAAAGCGUGGGGAGCGAACAGG
rnacentral:rRNA from 1 species